UGCGGGAUCGUCUAAUGGUAGGACGGUGGACUUUGACUCCAUUAAUCUUGGUUCGAAUCCAAGUCCCGCAG
rnacentral:tRNA from 1 species